rnacentral:rRNA from 1 species
GACGAACGCUGGCGGCGUGCUUAACACAUGCAAGUCGAACGGAAAGGCCCUGCUUUUGUGGGGUGCUCGAGUGGCGAACGGGUGAGUAACACGUGAGUAACCUGCCCUUGACUUUGGGAUAACUUCAGGAAACUGGGGCUAAUACCGGAUAGGAGCUCCUGCUGCAUGGUGGGGGUUGGAAAGUUUCGGCGGUUGGGGAUGGACUCGCGGCUUAUCAGCUUGUUGGUGGGGUAGUGGCUUACCAAGGCUUUGACGGGUAGCCGGCCUGAGAGGGUGACCGGCCACAUUGGGACUGAGAUACGGCCCAGACUCCUACGGGAGGCAGCAGUGGGGAAUAUAGCACAAUGGGCGGAAGCCUGAUGCAGCAACGCCGCGUGCGGGAUGACGGCCUUCGGGUUGUAAACCGCUUUCGCCUGUGACGAAGCGUGAGUGACGGUAAUGGGUAAAGAAGCACCGGCUAACUACGUGCCAGCAGCCGCGGUGAUACGUAGGGUGCGAGCGUUGUCCGGAUUUAUUGGGCGUAAAGGGCUCGUAGGUGGUUGAUCGCGUCGGAAGUGUAAUCUUGGGGCUUAACCCUGAGCGUGCUUUCGAUACGGGUUGACUUGAGGAAGGUAGGGGAGAAUGGAAUUCCUGGUGGAGCGGUGGAAUGCGCAGAUAUCAGGAGGAACACCAGUGGCGAAGGCGGUUCUCUGGGCCUUUCCUGACGCUGAGGAGCGAAAGCGUGGGGAGCGAACAGGCUUAGGUACCCUGGUAGUCCACGCUGUAAACGGUGGGUACUAGGUGUGGGGUCCAUUCCACGGGUUCCGUGCCGUAGCUAACGCUUUAAGUACCCCGCCUGGGGAGUACGGCCGCAAGGCUAAAACUCAAAGGAAUUGACGGGGCCCCGCACAAGCGGCGGAGCAUGCGGAUUAAUUCGAUGCAACGCGUAGAACCUUACCUGGGUUUGACAUGGAUCGGGAGUGCUCAGAGAUGGGUGUGCCUCUUUUGGGGUCGGUUCACAGGUGGUGCAUGCCUGUCGUCAGCUCGUGUCGUGAGAUGUUGGGUUAAGUCCCGCAACGAGCGCAACCCUUGUUCACUGUUGCCAGCACGUUAUGGUGGGGACUCAGUGGAGACCGCCGGGGUCAACUCGGAGGAAGGUGGGGAUGACGUCAAGUCAUCAUGCCCCUUAUGUCCAGGGCUUCACGCAUGCUACAAUGGCUGGUACAGAGAGUGGCGAGCCUGUGAGGGUGAGCGAAUCUCGGAAAGCCGGUCUCAGUUCGGAUUGGGGUCUGCAACUCGACCUCAUGAAGUCGGAGUCGCUAGUAAUCGCAGAUCAGCAACGCUGCGGUGAAUACGUUCCCGGG